rnacentral:rRNA from 1 species
AGCAGCCGCGGUAAUUCCAGCUCCAAUAGCGUAUAUUAAAGUUGUUGCAGUUAAAAAAGCUCGUAGUUGAAUUUCGGGGUUAGUAGGCUGGUCAUGCCUCUGGUAUGUACUGGUCUCACUGAUUCCUCCUUCCUGAUGAACCUUAAUGCCAUUUAUUUGGUGUUUUGGGGAAUUUGGACUGUUACUUUGAAAAAAUUAGAGUGUUUAAAGCAGGCUCACGCUUGAAUACAUUAGCAUGGAAUAAUGAAAUAGGACGUUUGAUUCUAUUUUGUUGGUUUCUAGGAUCGACGUAAUGAUUAAUAGGGAUAGUUGGGGGCAUUAGUAUUCAAUUGUCAGAGGUGAAAUUCUUGGAUUUAUUGAAGACUAACUACUGCGAAAGCAUUUGCCAAGGAUGUUUUCAUUAAUCUAAGAACGAAAGUUAGGGGAUCGAAGACGAUCAGAUACCGUCGUAGUCUUAACCAUAAACUAUGCCGACUAGGGAUCGGAUGAUGUUAAUUUUUUAAUGACUCUA